GACGAACGCUGGCGGCGUGCUUAACACAUGCAAGUCGAACGGUAAGGCCCUUCGGGGUACACGAGUGGCGAACGGGUGAGUAACACGUGGGUGAUCUGCCCUGCACUUCGGGAUAAGCCUGGGAAACUGGGUCUAAUACCGGAUAGGACCACUGCCUGCAUGGGUGGGGGGGGAAAGCUUUUUCGGUGUGGGAUGGGCCCGCGGCCUAUCAGCUUGUUGGUGGGGUGAUGGCCUACCAAGGCGACGACGGGUAGCCGGCCUGAGAGGGUGACCGGCCACACUGGGACUGAGAUACGGCCCAGAAUCCUACGGGAGGCAGCAGUGGGGAAUAUUGCACAAUGGGCGCAAGCCUGAUGCAGCGACGCCGCGUGAGGGAUGACGGCCUUCGGGUUGUAAACCUCUUUCAGCACCGACGAAGCGCAAGUGACGGUAGGUGCAGAAGAAGGACCGGCCAACUACGUGCCAGCCGCCGCGGUAA
rnacentral:rRNA from 1 species